rnacentral:rRNA from 1 species
CGGGACGGGUGAGUAAUGUCGGGGAAACUGCCCGAGGGAGGGGGAUAACUACUGGAAACGGUAGCUAAUACCGCAUAACGUCGCAAGACCAAAGAGGGGGACCUUCGGGCCUCUUGCCAUCGGAUGUGCCCAGAUGGGAUUAGCUAGUAGGUGGGGUAACGGCUCACCUAGGCGACGAUCCCUAGCUGGUCUGAGAGGAUGACCAGCCACACUGGAACUGAGACACGGUCCAG